CUACACAGAGUGUUUUACUAACCAUGUAAAGCCCUAAAGUUAGUCAUGUGAUACAAGGGCAGUUUAUAAACCAGUUCAGAUUUGAUUCAGAGUUCAGACUGAGUCAGGGGGUAUUUAGACCUCUUAAAGGAUACCCCAGACCUACAGAACACAGGGGCAGGUCUUAGUCCAAUAUGUCAGAUACAGAAGAAGUUCAUUACGAGGAGAAUGAGGGUAAGGAUUUAUCAUGUUAUCACUAUACAACAUCACAUGCUGCAAGUUCUAUACACACACAGUGUGACAGAUUUCAUGUAUGCCUUGCAACUAACACUUAUUCAGCACUGAAAUAGGGCUGGGGCAGUGUUUUUUUUAUUAUCUCACUGGCUUCCUUUAAGCUUGGAUAAUAAUCUAGCAGGGAGCUUUAUGAUCCUGCCACAACAGGACCUUCAGACAACAACAGUCAUAGAGCACCACACCCACUGGAGCACAUGUGGACUACACUUUCCAUAAUAUCUGUUAGAAAAGACUGAGCUUUUUGCAUGGGUGUGGAUUUGUUUGGGCAAUGUCGGCUCAGCCCAGUCAGGAAUUGCUGCAGGUUUUGGCAAAGGAACAAAGACACAGGAAUGAAGCAUUGUGUUACAAUCCAUGAAGUGUGUUUUUUCAAUGCUCUUGUCUAUUUCUGAGCUCAGAGGUAUUUUUCUGAUUAAGGAGUGUUCUCUUUAAGUGUUUUCAAACGCUCAUAAAUAAUAACAAUUAUAACUAUGCCACAGAAAUGUUUUUUUAUUUAUUUAACUGUAGACUCCCAGUCAACUGUAACAAAACAGUUAUGAACAAUUACAUGUUUAACACAGUCUUCACACUCUUGUCUAACACCUUUGCUCUUUUGAACUUGUUUUGUGUUCCCAAGAAACUGUGGUUAUGUUAUUAAGCAGUGGUAGCACAAGUGGUUAUGGCUCUGGGUUGUUGUUUGGAGGACUGGAGUUCAAGCCCCAGCACUGCCAAGCGUCCACUGUUUGGCCCUUGAGCAAGGCCUUUAAUCUUCACUGCUCCAGGGUUGACCCCGGCCUCCAAAAAGGAUUUCACUGUGCUGUAAUGUAUAUGUGAUAAAUAAAGGCCUCUAUUAAGCUAUCCAGUUGCCAUUUUCUUCCUGGCACAUGCUGGUAAACCAGGGGAGGAUGUAAUUGUAAUCGUUCUGCACUGGAUAGUAAGAAAAGCUGCUUUGUGUUGGGAGAAAGUGGCUGAGCUAGCUGAGACCCCUAGAGAGAGGUGCUAUUGUUAGAUGCACAAUGCUAAUUUCACUCUAUCUCCUACUUUCAAUUCUCUGUAGAAAAGCUCACGACUACUUCUCUCUUUCUUUUGCAUUAGAAAGCGUUUAGACUAGAUUUUACAGGCUUUUGUCUUCAAUCUGGAAUAAUUAUGUCAUAUGACCUAAUUAUAACCGUACACUAGUACUUAGCUUUUGAUGUUCUCACACACUUGAGUUGAUUCGCAUGAUUUUGUAGCAUAAUAGUAACAACCUUUGUGUGUGGAUGUGUGUAUGUGUGUGUGUGUGUUUGUAAAUUAUUAGCAAGAUAAAGUAACAGAUGCAAUACAUAAUUAAUGAACAUAAAAAAUUCUGUAUUAACAAAAUGGUAUAUUUUGGGCUGUAAAGGAUGACUGCUAUCUCACUGUGCUAUCUGCUAAUUUGCACUAAGGGGGCUGAGAAAGAGUAGAAGCAGAAGGUAAAGCAGGAGGAGGUGUCGACUGUUUUCAACUAUUCCCUUGCUAUACACUCUGGCUGACUUUGUUUGUCUUAUACCAUGUGCUUUUGUUUUUGUUGUGUUCACAUGUGUUAGCCCUGUCCUUUCCUUAAUCCGUUCCUACCUCUGCACACCUAUUCCUUGUGUUUCAAUAAUAGCCUUCCCUAUUUAUACCAGUUAUCUUGUGUGUGUUUUUGCUGAGUCCUUGUCUUAGGUUUGCUCCUGUUAUUGUGUUUCCUUGUUUUGAGUUUCUGGUUUCCUUGCGUUUCAAGCCCUUUGUUAUUUUUUUCCCUUCAAUAAACCCAUUUUUUUAUGUUAUCCCGGCAUUUGGGUCUUUUUAUCCGUGAAGACUUCCCCAAACUUUGACAGAAGUAGGAAGGUAGUUCAGAUUCAGCCAGUGCUAAUAAUGCAUCGGUUUUAUAAUUCAAGCAAUGAUCAGCAAGCCGUGAAGCUCUGAAGGUUAUCAAAAACUACUGAAAGAAUAUACACAUAAAUUAAUAUUAUUCUACUGAAAUGGAAUGCACAGUGCAGGUCAUAACCUGGUAAAUCUGUGCGGAAAAUCUGUGGUGCUCACACACACACACACACACAAACACAAACACACAAUAACUGCAUGAAGCUGUUAACCCACUGACAUCCUAAAACUGUUGUUUCAUUAUUCUUCUGACCAAGUUCCGCCUAAUUAGAUAGGAUGCAUUUCUCUGUAAGUCGACAGUCUGAAUCAGUUUCCAUAAACUUCUGAAUUCACUCUGCUCCUACUAUCAUGAGUUACAUCAUCAAUAAAGAUUUGUGAACCUGUUCCAGAAGCAGACAAGCCAUGACACUACUGCCACUAUGCUUGAUUAAUAGGCUCCACACUUUGGCCUUUUCUAUCACAUUUGAAAAGGUCAAUCUUUGUUGAACAUUCUUUGCGAAUUCCAAAGAAGCCAUGACACUACCGCCACUUUGCUUGACUGAUAAGCUCCACACUUUGGCCUUUUCUGUCACAUUGGAAAAGGUCAAUCUUUGUUGAACAUUCUUUGCAAAUUCCAAAAUAGCAUUUUCUUUAUGGCAUUUUAUAUUUCUGCUCACAAAAUCUCUUCUUCCUUGUGAUACUAUUGGCAAAAUUCUGUGGAGGAUGUGAAUGAUAUCACUGACUAUUGUUUUUUUUUUUUUUUUAUCACUGACUAUUGUUUCUGUCACUUGCUGUUGUUUCCUUGGCUGAACUGCUAGAUGUUUGAUUAUUUAUACACUUCUUUUUUCAUUAUAUUCCAAUUUUUUUACUGACUAUGCCCAAUGCUAGUGCAAUGCCUUGCUUUCUCCCAUAGACAGCUCUGUGGUCUUGACGGUUUCAUCAUUUUCACAGGUGAAUCUCUGGGCUCAAAUCAAAAGAGUAUACAAAAGAUUAGACAUUGAGCUCAAAAAAUAGACAUUAGGAGCUAUUACUUUUUUAAAGAGUAAAUCUAACAUAGCAUGCCUGGGCAAUUGCAUGUUCCAAUAUUUCUGACCACCAUUUAUAAUUAGUUGGUUUAAACAAAAAGUGCCAGGGAGUUUAAAAAUUAUCAGUACAUAAAAACUGAAAUUCUGGUCUAUCAUUGCAUAUUUAUCUUUUGGUCCCAAAUGUCUUUAGUGUAUAGCAAAUGCAAAACAAUUGGUCUUCUCAAAACUUACAAAAAGUAACAGAAACAGAACGAAAUUUCAAAAUAAUAUAUAAUGACGGGGGCACGGUGGCUUAGUGGUUAGCACGUUCGCCUCACACCUCCAGGGUCGGGGUUCGAUUCCCGCCUCCACCUUGUGUGUGUGGAGUUUGCAUGUUCUCCCCGUGCUUCGGGGGUUUCCUCCGGGUACUCCGGUUUCCUCCCCUGGUCCAAAGACAUGCAUGGUAGGUUGAUUGGCAUCUCUGGAAAAUUGUCCCUAGUGUGUGAUUGCGUGAGUGAAUGAGUGUGUGUGUGUGUCCUGUGAUGGGUUGGCACUAUGUCCAGGGUGUAUCCUGCCUUGAUGCCCGAUGACGCCUGAGAUAGGCACAGGCUCCCCGUGACCCGAGGUAGUUCGGAUAAGCGGUAGAAGAUGAAUGAUGAUGAAUGAUGAAUAUAUAAUGACUUUUCAAUAUUCCAAACUUUUAAUGAACAAUAUACAUUUUUUAUCUAUGUUAAUUGAUGGAUUUGAUCUAACAUCGAUUGUCAGGUAUUACACAAAUAUGUGGACACUGUCAGAUUAAAACCAAAAGAAGACAUUAAAUUCUGAAAUUCAUGUUAAUAAUUUUUCAUCUAGAUUCAUUUUUGUUUCUGAUGUGUUCACCUGGGUAUUAAAUUAAAACAGACUGGCAAAUAGCAAUCUUUGGUGCCAGUCAUAGUGUCUGGGAGAGAUGUAGAUUACCAGACAAAUGAGUCACUACUGCUUGGAGAAAACAACACUUUUGGGCAAUACAGAAAUGAUAACACCAAGUAAAAGUCACAAGAAAUAAAAUGCAAAAAUAUUACUUUUACAUGCUCCUCAAAUUCUCCAUUAGGUUGCUCAGAAUUGUUUGGCUUUAGGAAGAAACUUGUUGAGAUGUUGUGCUACUGUCUGUUCAACAGCAUAAUUGUACAGGGACCAUUUACCAACAGGAUCUGCAGAUGUUACAAGAUGUCUACUUUGCUAGCUGUCAAAUCUUCUCAAACCCAAUUGUUUUAAUAUAACCACUGUCUCUAUGAUUCAAAACAGUGGCUAUAUAAAUUAAAACCCCAAAGCAGGUAUUCAAACGUAAAUAAAGGACUAGAUUUAAACACCAAAUUUUUUUCCUUCAGCAUAUCAUCGAGAUUUAUUUAAAGAGACAGGCGUUAUUGAAUCAACGCAUAGGAAGAAAAAUAUUUACUUUAUUUAUUUAACAGAAAUUUAAUUUGUAUUUAAAUGAAUAUUUUACUGUACACUGUGUCUGACAAGAUUUGAAUUUCUACACUUUCUUUUUUCUUUGCAUCCCUUUACAUACAUGUGUAAUAGGGAAGAUCAGACUGGUUGGUGGGAACCUACAGAAGCAAACUGGAGGGGAUUGGUGCCUUUUGUAUGCACUAUACAUGCCAUUCAUCCAUUAAAUGAAAAGUGAACAAAAACAAAAAAAAUCCUGCAUUAAAAAUGUAUUACAUGUACUACGUAUUAAACUGUUUUUCUUGAGCAUAGUUUUAGAAAGGGCUUAUUUUUAUCAAUAUAAUAAAACAUGUUUACAGUAAGAAACAUUAGGUCUGUUUGUUAUAUAUAUUCCUGCU